CGUGUAUUGUCAAGAAAUCCCCGCAUACCAAAUUAGUGCAUAUGCAGUAGCCCAGACGGCGCAUCUCAUUUGUGGCGCGUCGCAAACUCUUUAAACACACACACAAAGUUGUACCAUUCUGCGAAUACGGAGUGCCCAAGUAUGGAGUACCGUUAUGCUGUAUACACUAUUCCCCUACAGGACUAUGUACUCCUCCACUGGUCACUGGACACUGCACACUGGCCUCUCUACAUAGCGCUACGCUCUGCUUGGACCUCUGUGUCGCUUUAUGUAGCCUGUCUCAUCUGACUUAUUUUCCUAUUGCUAUUUGCAUGACCAUUACCAUUACGUGUUGGUUAUUCAUAGAGCCAGACCUCGACUAUUUCCCGCAUACUAAAAUAACGAUCGGACUGCUGCUUGCUUUUUCUUUGCGCUCUCCCUUUCUUACCUAACCAGUGUUUUUCUACAUACAUGCAUACACACAGUACGGAGUAGAAUUUCCGGCCAUAGUAACGUUGCAGCCAUUUUUCGCAAAUCCUAUCCCUCAUAUUUAAUACACGGUAGUGCCCAUCUGAACCCGCUGCGGUUC
rnacentral:lncRNA from 1 species